AACGAACGCUGGCGGCAUGCCUAACACAUGCCAGUCGAACGAGACCUUCGGGUCUAGUGGCGCACGGGUGCGUAACGCGUGGGAACCUGCCCUUAGGUUCGGAAUAACUCCCCGAAAGGGGUGCUAAUACCGGAUAAUGUCUUCGGACCAAAGAUUUAUCGCCUUUGGAUGGGCCCGCGUUGGAUUAGCUAGUUGGUAGGGUAAAAGCCUACCAAGGCGACGAUCCAUAGCUGGUCUGAGAGGAUGAUCAGCCACACUGGGACUGAGACACGGCCCAGACUCCUACGGGAGGCAGCAGUGGGGAAUAUUGGACAAUGGGCGAAAUCCUGAUCCAGCAAUGCCGCGUGAGUGAUGAAGGCCUUAGGGUUGUAAAGCUCUUUUACCCGGGAUGAUAAUGACAGUACCGGGAGAAUAAGCGCCGGCUAACUCCGUG
rnacentral:rRNA from 1 species